rnacentral:rRNA from 1 species
UCAGACGAUGCGUCAUGCAUAUCAAUAAGCGGAGGAAAAGAAACUAACAAGGAUUCCCUUAGUAACGGCGAGUGAAGCGGGAAGAGCUCAAAUUUGAAAUCUUCAAGGUUCUACCUUGACGAAUUGUAGUUUAAAGAAGUGUUUUCUGUUGAAGUUUUGGUAAAAGUUCUUUGGAAUAGGACAUCAUAGAGGGUGAGAAUCCCGUAUUUGACCAUUAUUUUCAGCUGUGUGAUACACUUUCAAAGAGUCGGAUUGUUUGGGAAUGCAGUCCAAAAUGGGUGGUAAAUUUCAUCUAAAGCUAAAUAUUGGCGAGAGACCGAUAGCGAACAAGUACCGUGAGGGAAAGAUGAAAAGAACUUUGAAAAGAGAGUUAAACAGUACGUGAAAUUGUCAAAAGGGAAGCGUUUGACACCAGUGUUGUUUUUCCGAAAAUCAAUUAAAAAUAGAUUCAUGCCAAGUUGUAUUGACCUUAUCAGCUUGCAAUUUGGUUUUGGGUACUUUUUUGAUGCACUUUUCGGUUAACAAGUCAACAUCAAUUUCCUUUGCUGUAAAAGGGCAGAAGGAAGGUGGCUUCAAUUUCGGUUGAAGUGUCUAUAGCCUUUUGUCUCUGCAGUCGGGGAGAUUGAGGUCUGCAGCGUAGAUCCUUCGGGGUUAGAUACAUUCGUGCUAAGUUAUAGCCUUUUAUAGACAACUUGUUGACUAUGAUCGGUCAUGUAAUUUACUCGCGAGUGCUAUUUUACCUACGCUUAGGAUGUUGAUAUGCAUGACUGAUAU